rnacentral:rRNA from 1 species
UUCCGGUUGAUCCCGCCAGAGGUCACUGCUAUCGGUGUCCGAUUAAGCCAUGCGAGUCGAGAGGUGUAAGACCUCGGCAGACUGCUCAGUAACACGUGGAUAACCUGCCCAAGGGUCCGGGAUAACCCCGGGAAACUGGGGAUAAUACCGGAUGGGUCACCAGUGCUGGAAUGCUUGGUGGUCGAAAGGUGACGCCUUUGGAUGGGUCUGCGGCGGAUUAGGUUGACGCCGGUGUAACGUACCGGCGUGCCUGUAAUCCGUACGGGUUGUGGGAGCAAGAGCCCGGAGAUGGAUUCUGAGACACGAAUCCAGGCCCUACGGGGCGCAGCAGGCGCGAAAACUCUACAAUGCAGGCAACUGCGAUAGGGGGACAUCGAGUGGCAUCCACCUUGGGUGUCUGUCCAACCGUCUAAAAAACGGUUGUUAGCAAGGGCCGGGCAAGACCGGUGCCAGCCGCCGCGGUAAUAC